rnacentral:snRNA from 1 species
UUGCUUUGGGAACAAAUAUAGUAAAAGUGGAAUUAUACAGAGAAGAUUACCAUGGUCCCUAAGUAAG